UACGUAGGGUGCAAGCGUUAAUCGGAAUUACUGGGCGUAAAGUGUGCGCAGGCGGCGCCGCAAGUCGAGUGUGAAAGCCCCGAGCUUAACUUGGGAAUUGCGCUCGAAACUAUGGUGCUGGAGUGUGGCAGAGGAAGGUGGAAUUCCACGUGUAGCGGUGAAAUGCGUAGAUAUGUCAUAGAACACCGAUAGCGAAGGCAGCUCACUAGGCCUGGAUUGACGCUCAGGGACGAAAGCGUGGGGAGCAAACAGG
rnacentral:rRNA from 1 species